rnacentral:lncRNA from 1 species
CCCCCUGUGGUUUUGUUUUUCUCUUUUUCUUAUCAAUUUCAUUAUUUUUUUUUCUUUAAAUUAGUAAUAAAGUUUAAAUUAAAGGGUACUAAAGUGAAUAUUUGAUAAAUAUAGAUGGGUAUCUGAAGUUUUUUGUAUAUAAUUUAACGAAAUAUUAACGAAAAAGCUACCGAAAAGAUAAAAACGAAACCACAGGGGGGCAAAUUGAUACACUUUAAACCGCAGGGGGGCAAAGUGAGAAACUACGAAACCACAGGGGGGGUUUUUGAAGUUUUCCCUUU